rnacentral:RNase_P_RNA from 1 species
CGGGGAAAGCGGGCAGUUGCAUUUAAUUUCCUGUAACAAGGAAAUCGAAUGAGGAAAGUCCGAACACCAUAGAACAGCACGCUUCGUAACGCGAAGGCAGUAACGCAAGUAAUAAUCGAAAGAUUAUUAUAGUAAGCUGACGGAUAGCGCAACAGAAAAUAAACCGCCAAUCCGCUUUGCAAAAAAGCUUUCUGCAAGGAAAUAUUCUCUGCAAAGGUCAUGGAGGUAAGGGUGAAACGGUAAGGUAAGAGCUUACCGCGUUUAUCGGGCAACCGAUGCGGCAUGGCAAGCCCCGUGUGGUGCAAGACUAAAUAGGGAACAUGACAGUGUUCGGUGCAUUCGUGCACUAUAUAACAUACCUUGGGCUGUUCGUCCAAUGCUAUAAAUAUUAUAGCACUUGUUUCGGGUAAGUUGCUUGAGGAUUACGGCGACGUAAUUCCCAGAUAAAUAACUGCCUCUUUAAUCCUCAUUCCUGAAAAGGUAUUUUGAUUAGAAAGACAGAAUUCGGCUUAUAGCUUUCUUCGCAAU